UGCACUUCAAUUUGGGUUCACUCAUAGCGUGGGGCACAAAAGUGGGAAAAAAAAAAAGAGAGGAAUUACGACGGCUCACAUUGCAGAAGUGCUAACACAAUAUAUACUCCACCAUGAAAAGGCCAUAUGUGUCGGUAUUAAAAGGGAGCUUCAUGGUCUUCAGGCCUGUCCAAUUGAUCACCAACACAAGGCGGCCAUUUUUCUCAGAAAGUUUCACGCGGCAGGGCAUGUAAAGGCACUUUCACACACUUCUAAUAGGCCGCUUAUCCUCACUAUUACCCCAGCCUUCGAUUGUAGCCGUAGCAGCGGCUGCAGCAUGUCUGGUGCAGGAACUUUUUGCCCCGAAACCAUCAUUCCUUGGAUUUCUACAAAAGCUCCAUUAGGGAUCAAUAGGAUAUAUUUGAGAGAAUCAGAUUGGCGCUUUCACUUUCUGUCUGCUGCUUCAGAGCCCUUCAGAGGAAUCAAUAUGCUAACAUUUCUGUUAAUUUUAAUCAGACUGCAGAAAUGUUUAUUCAGUGACUGAUGGAGGCUCUAUUUUAAGCAAUAUGGAGGCUCAAGUGUUUACACUGCUCCAUCUCUCAUGCUGUACAAACCGUCCAGCUGUUUAUCUUAAAAGACGAGGAUGAAACAGCUUAAACUGUGAUGCAACCGCGCUGCCUUCAUCUGUCCCGGCUGUCUUAAUAUCAGGCCAGGUAAGGGCUGCAGGAAUUGAUGAAUUAAAGCAGCAGACGAUGCCAAGUAAAGCCAUUAGGAUACAGGAACUCAGGCGUGUGUCUGGCUCACCGGUUGUCAUGGCUGCGGUGUUUAUCACCUCUUUUCCUGCCGACAGAAGCCCAGGGGCAAAUCAGAUUGGCUUCAGACAGAGGGAGAGCUGGUGAGUGAGGGGGAGGACAUAUUGGCACGACGGAGGGGUGAAAUGCCAACACGCUGCAGAGGGGAGGCAGAGGACAGGCAUUGGACAAAUGUCAAUAUGGCUUAUUCAUGAUAAGAUUUUGCUUUUUAAACGUUUGACAGAGAUUAGGGGGUUGAGGCUGAGUGUACCACUGAUAUUUGUCAGUCUCAUUCAGGAGGUCCUCACUGUAAAUCCACUGUCAUCUCCAAUUUGGCAAAACCCCUAUUUCAAAUUCAUCUCAACCUAGGUUUUUUUUUUUGUUGCUUUUAGCUCAUUUUGACUUUUGAAAAACCCUGAAUUGUUACCUCUGUUACUUUUUCUCUGUAACUCAAUAUAACGAUAAUGUUAGCCCACAACAGAUGCGGACUACAUCUCAAACAACAGUCUUAACAUAACGAAUUUACAACCUUUAUAUAUUAUGCAAAAGAGAGCAAUAAGGGGUGUUAACAAGGUAGGAUUCUUCCAUCACACUAAUGAACUGUUUCUGAAAUUAAGAGUAUUAAAAGUUGACGAUCUAGUUGAAUUGAGAACUGCACAGAUAAUGUACAAAGCAAGCAACAAUCUACUCCCUAGCAAUAUACAGAAAAUGUUUGGUGGAAGAGAGGGCAGGUAUGUAUUAAAAACAACUACACUAAAAAGCAUGUGUCUUUCUGUUAUGGUGGUGAAGCUAUGGAACAACUUGCUCGAUGAAAUUAAACAAAGCAAAACAAUAGCACAGUAUAAAAGUAAAUUAAAGCAGAGUAUGAUUGAAAAAUACUUAUAUAGGUGAUUUUUGUUUUGUCACACUUAUUGUAUAUGGGUAUGGUACAAAUAAGAGAUUUGAAGUUUCAUAGGCAGUUUCCCAAGGCAUUAGUGAACUAAGUGCCAGCUUAGGGCCCCACGGCCAGGUAAGGGCCCCCAAGAGUAAUAAAAAAAUUUAAAAAAAACUUAAUAUAUAUAUAUUUUUGCAUGUAUGAAUGAUGCUUUCUGUAUGAUAUCUUAUAUAUUAUUGUAAAAAUAGAAUAAAAUAAAGUAAACACAUUUUAAAUGCUGCUGCUAAUGUCGGCCUUUGAUUCUUACUGCCGAUAUGUCAAAGCUCUGCUACCGUUAUGUGCCUUCUGCUGUGCCAUGUGCACUGAGCAUCCAAAGCGCAGGUAGUUGUGGGGCAAAACAAUGUCGUAAAAAAGGACAUAUCCUUCGUGAGCAGAGAAAAGAAAGAGGAAGACGAGAAAACACGCCAAGAAAAGGGUUUUAUUGCAUGUCAUGGAAGGUUAAUCAAAGAGAUUUGUGAAGGUGUGUGAAUGAUCAACAAUCAAUAUUAUUGGCAGAAAUAGAGGGACCCAAAAUCAAAUUUUGCUCGGGGCCCCAUUGAGGCUUGGGCUGGCUUUGUUCAUAGGUAUAUACAGUACUGGCCAAAAGUUUGGACACACAUUCUCAUUCAAUGCAUUUUCUUUAUUCUCAUUACUAUUUAAAUUGUAGAUUCUCAGUGAAGGCAUCAAAACUAUGAAUGAACACAUGUAGAAUUAUGUGCUUUAGAAAAAAGUGUGAAAUAACUGAAAACAUGUUUUAUAUUUUAGAUUCCUCAAAGUAGCCACCCUUUACUUUUUUAAUAGCGCUUCAAACUUUUGUUGCUCUCUAAAUGAGCUUCACAAGGUAGUCACCUGAAAUGGUUUUUACUUCACAGGUGUGCCUCGUCAGGGUUAAGCACUUCUGUCAUCAAGAGCAAAGGGUGGCUGUUUUAAAGAAACUAGAAUAUAAAACAUGUUUUCAGUUAUUUUCCACAUGUAUUCAUACAUAGUUUUGAUCCCUUCAGUGAUAAUCUACAAUGUAAAUAGUCAUAUAAAAAAAAUAAAGAAAAGACUUCGAAUGAGAAGGUGUGUCCAGACUUUUGGCCUGUACUGUAUGUUUAUAUAAGGUCUUUGUCUCAGUAUUAAUGAUUUGUUACUUAUUCAUGUUAGACUUUGGAGCUUUGGCUACUUUUUGGCGACUUAAGAAAUCCUAAAAUUCUAGAGACAUGUAAAAGGUCAACGAAUUAGAAGGAAUGAGGGUAGGUACAAAUAAGCUAAAUGGCUUCUACCUACUAAAAUCGGAGAAUUUCUUGUGUAAAAUUGUACUGUAUGUAUAUUAUAUCGAAUAAACAAUAUCUUUCUCAUAUUAAAAUAUCAGGUGACAUUUGCCCAACAUCCCCCAAAGCCUAUGCCUGCCACCUAGCGGCUCUUGCA